GGGUAUUCUGCCAGCAGACCACCUUUGGACUCCAGCUGAAAUCCUUCCAGAUCUCUAGCCUUCCAGCCCACCCUGAAAAUUUAGGACUGGCUGAGCCUCCAUGAUCAUCAUCAUUUAUCUACAUUAAAAAAAAAAAAAACCCUGCUUACUCUGGAAGGUGCUAAGACAGACCUCCAGAAUGUCAGCCCCCAGAAGAAGCCUUGUGUCCUGUGGUCUCUGCCAGGUACCAUGUGGAUUUGCCUUUUCAAAGCAACACAUCUGGUCAUCACUCACCAACCUGCUCGGCUCUUCCUGGAAUAUUUUCACUGCCUUUCCACUUCACUCAGAUUUGAGAGAGUUAAUUAUUUAAUACGUUUGCAAAGCACAUUGGGUUCCCUAGAGAAAGUGUGCCACGUAAAUAUAUAUAAAUGAAUAAUUAAUUAAAGUGUAAGCAGAUUA